rnacentral:tRNA from 1 species
AAAGGUAUAGCUCAGUGGUGGAGUGUGUGCUUAGUAUGCACGAGGUCCUGGGUUCAGUCCUCAGUUCUCUGU